GAAAUGCGAUAAGUAGUGUGAAUUGCAGAAUUCAGUGAAUCAUCGAAUCUUUGAACGCACAUUGCGCCCCUUGGUAUUCCAUGGGGCAUGCCUGUUCGAGCGUCAUUUGUACCCUCAAGCUCUGCUUGGUGUUGGGUGUUUGUCCCGUCUCCGCGCGUGGACUCGCCCCAAAGUGAUUGGCAGCCGGCACUUUGGCCUAGGAGCGCAGCACAUUUUGCGAUCGUAAGCCGUUGUGACAGUAUCCAUAAGAUUUAUUUUACCACGUUUGACCUCGGAUCAGGUAGGGAUACCCGCUGAACUUAAGC
rnacentral:misc_RNA from 1 species